rnacentral:rRNA from 1 species
AUUGAACGCUGGCGGCAUGCUUUACACAUGCAAGUCGAACGGUAACAGGCCGCAAGGUGCUGACGAGUGGCGAACGGGUGAGUAAUGCAUCGGAACGUGCCCAGUCGUGGGGGAUAACGCAGCGAAAGCGGUGCUAAUACCGCAUACGAGCUAGGGAGGAAAGCGGGGGACCGUAAGGCCUCGCGCGCUUGGAGCGGCCGAUGUCAGAUUAGGGAGUUGGUGGGGUAAAGGCCUACCAAGCCGACGAUCUGUAGCUGGUCUGAGAGGACGACCAGCCACACUGGGACUGAGACACGGCCCAGACUCCUACGGGAGGCAGCAGUGGGGAAUUUUGGACAAUGGGCGCAAGCCUGAUCCAGCAAUGCCGCGUGCAGGAAGAAGGCCUUCGGGUUGUAAACUGCUUUUGUACGGAACGAAACGGCCUGGGUUAAUACCCUGGGCUAAUGACGGUACCGUAAGAAUAAGCACCGGCUAACUACGUGCCAGCCGCCGCAGUAAAAC